rnacentral:lncRNA from 1 species
UCAAGUUUAACCCAUUAAACUGGACGCUCGCGAGUGCGAGAUGCUUUGUUUUCGGGAAAAUGGCGCAUUUGAGUCCGAGGUAUUUGUUGCAAAUGUCGGGGCCUUCCCAAGACUUAAGUUUAUCAUCUGCGACUAGAUCCUUAAAUCUUUGGAGAACUGGAUAGACUUUCUUUAAUAAUGAGCUCGCAAACGGUAGAUCAGGUGUUGGCGGCGAUGGCUGGGGUUUAGGCGGUGCAGGCGGCGGAAGCUGUGGAGGAGGUGGAAGCUGUGGAGGAGGAGGGCUUGGAGGAGGAGAGGGUGGAGGAGGGCAUGGAGGGGGAGAAGGUGGAGGAGGGCAUGGAGGAGGAGGAGGGGGAGGAGGGCAAUCUGCAGGUUCUGGUUCUGGUUCCGGUGAAGGUGACGGUGGAGGAUUGUUGUCGUUACCACCACCGAUAAUGAUUUCUAAGGAUUUUCUGUCGUUAAUGUGGUUGUUUCCGGUGGUUGAA